CGGCAACGUGGGCGACGGCAGCUUUGACGACAACAGCAAAAACAACCAGUUCUGGUCAGUGGACUCCGGAAGCGUAAACACCGGCAACGUGGGCGACGGCAGCUUUGAUGACAACAGCAAAAACAACCAGUUCUGGUCAGUGGACUCCGGAAGUGUAAAGACCGGCAACGUGGGAGACGGCAGCUUUGACGACAACAGC